rnacentral:lncRNA from 1 species
UAAGACUUGUGAGAAGUCUUAUAUGUGAAGUUGAGAGUGAUACAAGAGUGAAAUCACUUGUUUACUUACAAAGAGGGCAUUCUGGGUUUCUAAGGCAGCAACACCUUCUUGUUGAUUUUGAGAGUUCUAUAUCUUCUUUUUUUGAUUUUCUUUCAUAAAUCCCUUCCUUAGACAUGGCUUCAAGUGAGGGUGAGAGCUUGAGAGUAAUUGAGAAGUUUAGGGGUGACAACUUUUACCAUUGGAAGAAAAAAAUGGAGCUUUUGUUGGCUUCAUUGGACCUUUGGGACAUUGUUGAUGAAAGUGAAG